rnacentral:snRNA from 1 species
UACUACAGUUGGAACAAUACAAAGAUUGGCGUGGCCCCUACACAGGGAUGACACAACAUGCAUAUCUGUGAAGUGUACCAU